AGCUUUGCACAUUGACAGUAUAGCCAAGUGAGGUUUAUCUCAGGAGUGGUUAUUGUUAAUUGAAAACUUUUUCCUAAUACCCUGUUGUCAUGACUUUCAGUAUAGUCAGCAUUGGCAAUUUUUGACAGUCUUUUUGGAGA
ensembl:snRNA U4 U4 spliceosomal RNA